rnacentral:rRNA from 1 species
AUUGAACGCCGGCGGCAUGCCUUACACAUGCAAGUCGAACGGCAGCACGGGUGCUUGCACCUGGUGGCGAGUGGCGAACGGGUGAGUAAUACAUCGGAACGUACCUUAUCGUGGGGGAUAACGCAGCGAAAGCUGUGCUAAUACCGCAUACGCCCUGAGGGGGAAAGCGGGGGAUCGCAAGACCUCGCGCGAUUAGAGCGGCCGAUGCCUGAUUAGCUUGUUGGUGGGGUAAAAGCCCACCAAGGCGACGAUCAGUAGCUGGUCUGAGAGGACGAUCAGCCACACUGGGACUGAGACACGGCCCAGACUCCUACGGGAGGCAGCAGUGGGGAAUUUUGGACAAUGGGGGCAACCCUGAUCCAGCAAUGCCUCGUGAGUGAAGAAGGCCUUCGGGUUGUAAAGCUCUUUUGUCAGGGAAGAAACACCGGCUCUAACACAGUCCGGGAAUGACGGUACCUGAAGAAUAAGCACCGGCUAACUACGUGCCAGCAGCCGCCGUAA